rnacentral:rRNA from 1 species
CCGCGUGUGUGAUGAAGGUCUGAGGGUUGUAAAGCACUUUCAAUAGGGAGGAAAACAGGCGAAAUUAAUAACUCGUCUCUUGACAUUACCUAUAGAAGAAGCACCGGCUAACUCCGUGCCAGCAGCCGCGGUAAUACGGAGGGUGCAAGCGUUAAUCGGAAUUACUGGGCGUAAAGCGUUCGUAGGCGGUUAGUUAAGUUAGAUGUGAAAGCCCCGGGCUUAACCUGGGAACUGCAUUUAAAACUGGCAAACUAGAGUUUAGGAGAGGGAAGUGGAAUUUCAGGUGUAGCAGUGAAAUGCGUAGAGAUCUGAAGGAACACCAGUGGCGAAGGCGACUUCCUGGACUAAAACUGACGCUGAGGAACGAAAGCGUGGGUAGCAAACGGGAUUAGAUACCCCGGUAGUCCACGCCGUAAACGAUGUCAACUAGCCGUUGGGCCUAUAUACAGGUUUAGUGGCGGAGCUAACGUAUUAAGUUGACCGCCUGGGGAGUACGGCCGCAAGGUUAAAACUCAAAUGAAUUGACGGGGGCCCGCACAAGCGGUGGAGCAUGUGGUUUAAUUCGAUGCAACGCGAAGAACCUUACCUACCCUUGACAUCCAGAGAAUCUGUUAGAGAUAGUAGAGUGCCUUCGGGAGCUCUGAGACAGGUGCUGCAUGGCUGCCGUCAGCUCGUGUCGUGAGAUGUUGGGUUAAGUCCCGUAACGAGCGCAACCCUUAUCCUUAGUUGCUAGCAGUAUGCUGAGACUCUAAGAGACUGCCGGUGAUAACCGGAGAAGUGGGGACGACGUCAGUCAUCAUGGCCUUAUGGGUAGGGCUACACACGUGCUACAAG